UCAAUUGGCAUUAUUUCAUGC
rnacentral:piRNA from 1 species